rnacentral:rRNA from 1 species
UACGAAGGGUGCAAGCGUUACUCGGAAUUACUGGGCGUAAAGGGUGCGUAGGUGGUUGUUUAAGUCUGCUGUGAAAGCCCCGGGCUCAACCUGGGAAUGGCAGUGGAUACUGGACAGCUAGAGUGCGGUAGAGGGUAGUGGAAUUCCCGGUGUAGCAGUGAAAUGCGUAGAGAUCGGGAGGAACACCAGUGGCGAAGGCGGCUACCUGGAUAACUUCUGACGCUAAAGCACGAAAGCCAGGGGAGCAAACGGG